UUAUUUUCUAUGCUUGAAUGUUAUAUGUAUCUUAAAUACCCAUGGUGCAGGCUUGUGAUGGUUAGCCAAAGCCAUAUUGGUGAGUGGCAAAAUGCUUAUGCAAUUUCUUACUUUUAUGUAGGUGGGCAAAACUGAAUGUGUGGAUUGAUUAGGUGCUAGAGAUAUGCCUUUGAGGCCAAGAUCAAGCAAUGAGAUCCUCCCCUUUAAUUACCAGUGAGAUGGCCUGGCUGGCAUGAAGCAAGGGGGAUCUAAACAUUUGGUAUGUUGAGCAGCAAAAUGUCCAAGGUGCAUAUAGUUGUACAGAAGAGGUGAAGGAAGAAGUGAAGUGCAUCAUGGCCAUCACAGAGAACAGGAAUUCUCGUGGCAGUGUCGAGUGGGGCGGCGGGAUGAUCUGGCCAUGCACGAUGAAGGGUAACUUAGUCAUUUUAUGAAGGAUAUUUUGGGCAGGGGAAAUAUCUUCGAGCAUGCUGUGGAUGCUGUUUCUUUUUCGCUUGGUCGUAUUAGAUGUCAUGCUAUGGUUCGGUUUGCUUAUGAAGAAGCUGCUGCGAAGGUUGUUUCUCUUUCGUUCAGUUGUAUUAAGAUGUCGUCCGGGCUACAUCAUGGCAUGCAUGGCUGCUGAUUUAAGAAACAUCUAGUUUCGGUGAUUUUAAUUAAUCAUGCUAUUGAUCUUAAUUGUAGGCACUUUACCAGCUUAGUAGAUCCUGUCUGAUGGGAGUGCCACUCAAACUUGCAUUGCUUUGUAAGGACAACCACAAUCUUGACUGGUGAAUGCCACUAUUUGCAUCCA